AGAGAGAGACAUGCGCGCAUAUCAAUAAGCGGAGGAAAAGAAACUAACAAGGAUUCCCCUAGUAACGGCGAGUGAAGCGGGAAGAGCUCAAAUUUGAAAUCUUAAAGGGUUUCCCUUUACGAAUUGUAGUUUAAAGAAGUGUUUUCUGUUGAGGUUUUGGUAAAAGUUCUUUGGAAUAGGACAUCAUAGAGGGUGAGAAUCCCGUAUUUGACCUUUACUUUCAACUUUGUGAUACACUUUCAAAGAGUCGGAUUGUUUGGGAAUGCAGUCCAAAAUGGGUGGUAAAUUUCAUCUAAAGCUAAAUAUUGGCGAGAGACCGAUAGCGAACAAGUACCGUGAGGGAAAGAUGAAAAGAACUUUGAAAAGAGAGUUAAACAGUACGUGAAAUUGUCAAAAGGGAAGCGUUUGACACCAGUGUUGUUUUUCUGAAAAUCAAUUAAAGAACUGUUUAUGCUAAGUUGUUUAGACUUUAUCAGCUAACUGUUUAGUUUUGAGCUCUUCUUUAAUGCACUUUUCAGUUAACAAGUCAACAUCAAUUUCUUUUGCUGUAAAAAAGCUUGAGGAAGGUGGCUUGAGAUUCGUCUUAAGUGUUUAUAGCCUCUUGCCUAUGCAGUCGGAGAGAUUGAGGUCUGCAGCGUAGAUCCUUCGGGGCUAAAUGCAUUUGUGCUAAGUUAUAGCAUUUUAUAGACAACUUGUUGACUAUGAUUUGUCUUGUAGCUUACUCGCUUAUGUUAUUUUACCUACGCUUAGGAUGUUGACGCAUGAGAUAUACG
rnacentral:rRNA from 1 species